AAGUCGUAACAAGGUAACCGUAGGUGAACCUGCGGUUGGAUCAUUAACAAAUAAUGAAAAACAAACAUUAUGUGAACUGUUUUUGGUAAUUAUAUGGGUGUGCAAUUUUCAGGAAUGGGUGAGCUUUCAACACUCAGCCAUUUCUCCAAAUUUGCCGUUUUCUUCGGAAAGCCUCAUAAGUUACCAACGGUCAAGCUGGUACUUUAUUGUGCCAGCUUGCUCGUUAACCCACCAUUUUAUUUUGUCUGAACUUUAAAGAGCAUUUAUUGAAAGAUACUUGCUAUUUUAAUGAAUAAACAACUUUUGACAACGGAUCUCUUGGCUCUC
rnacentral:misc_RNA from 1 species